UGGGGCGUCGCCAAGUGGUAAGGCAUCUGGUUUUGGUCCAGACAUUCGCAGGUUCGAAUCCUUCCGCCCCAG
rnacentral:tRNA from 1 species